rnacentral:rRNA from 1 species
UACGAAGGGGGCUAGCGUUGCUCGGAAUUACUGGGCGUAAAGCGCACGUAGGCGGCUUUCUAAGUCGGGGGUGAAAUCCUGGAGCUCAACUCCAGAACUGCCUUCGAUACUGGAGAGCUCGAGUCCGGGAGAGGUGAGUGGAACUGCGAGUGUAGAGGUGAAAUUCGUAGAUAUUCGCAAGAACACCAGUGGCGAAGGCGGCUCACUGGCCCGGUACUGGCGCUGAGGUGCGAAAGCGUGGGGAGCAAACAGG